AUGAGCCUCGGCCUCCUGUGCUGUGUGGCCCUGGGUCUCCUGCAGGCAGGGCCCGUGAAUGCUGGCAUCACUCAGACCCCCAGAUUCCAGAUCCUGGGGACAGGACAGAGCAUGACGCUGAGAUGUGAACAGGACAAGGACCACGACUACAUGUCCUGGUAUCGACAAGACCCUGGACAUGGGCUGCGGCUGAUCCAUUACUCCAUCAGUGCUGGUACCACCGAGAGAGGAGAAAUCUCCAAUGGAUACAACGUCUCUAGGUCAAAUACAAAGAACUUCCCUCUCACGCUGGCGUCCGCAACUCCCUCCCAGACAUCUGUGUACUUCUGUGCCAGCAGUGACUACACACCUUUCCAUAGGGGCAGCCCCAACAAGGCCCUGCUGGGUCUGUCCUCUAGCUGCCUCGAGACUGGCUUCGCUGGCUUCAUGUGCCUCAGCUCUAACCCCACACACUGCUAG